rnacentral:rRNA from 1 species
GGCAGGCGGCUGCUUACCAUGCAGUCGAACGGCAGCACGGGAGCAAUCCUGGUGGCGAGUGGCGAACGGGUGAGUAAUACAUCGGAACGUGUCCUGGAGUGGGGGAUAGCCCGGCGAAAGCCGGAUUAAUACCGCAUACGCUCUAUGGAGGAAAGCGGGGGAUCUUCGGACCUCGCGCUCAAGGGGCGGCCGAUGGCGGAUUAGCUAGUUGGUGGGGUAAAGGCCUACCAAGGCGACGAUCCGUAGCUGGUCUGAGAGGACGACCAGCCACACUGGGACUGAGACACGGCCCAGACUCCUACGGGAGGCAGCAGUGGGGAAUUUUGGACAAUGGGGGAAACCCUGAUCCAGCAAUGCCGCGUGUGUGAAGAAGGCCUUCGGGUUGUAAAGCACUUUUGUCCGGAAAGAAAUCCUUUGGGCUAAUACCCCGGGGGGAUGACGGUACCGGAAGAAUAAGCACCGGCUAACUACGUGCCAGCAGCCGCGGUAAUACGUAGGGUGCGAGCGUUAAUCGGAAUUACUGGGCGUAAAGCGUGCGCAGGCGGUUCGCUAAGACCGAUGUGAAAUCCCCGGGCUUAACCUGGGAACUGCAUUGGUGACUGGCGGGCUAGAGUAUGGCACAGGGGGGUAGAAUUCCACGUGUAGCAGUGAAAUGCGUAGAGAUGUGGAGGAAUACCGAUGGCGAAGGCAGCCCCCUGGGCCAAUACUGACGCUCAUGCACGAAAGCGUGGGGAGCAAACAGGUAAACCCCCCCGGGGGAAAAAAAAAAC